ACUCAAAGGAAUAGACGGGGGCUCGCACAAGCGGUGGAGCAUGUGGUUUAAUUCGAUGCAACGCGAAGAACCUUACCUACCCUUGACAUCCUGCGAAUUCUGAUGAAAGUUGGAAGUGCCGAAAGGAGCGCAGAGACAGGUGCUGCAUGGCUGUCGUCAGCUCGUGUUGUGAGAUGUUGGGUUAAGUCCCGUAACGAGCGCAACCCUUGUCCUUAGUUGCCAUCAUUUAGUUGGGGACUCUAAGGAGACUGCCGGUGAUGAACCGGAGGAAGGCGGGGACGACGUCAAGUCAUCAUGGCCUUUAUGGGUAGGGCUACACACGUGCUACAAUGGGGCGUACAGAGGGAAGCCAACUUGCGAAAGGGAGCCAAUCUCAGAAAGCGCCUCGUAGUCCGGAUUGGAGUCUGCAACUCGACUCCAUGAAGUUGGAAUCGCUAGUAAUCGCGAAUCAGCAACGUCGCGGUGAAUACGUUCUCGGGCCUUGUACACACCGCCCGU
rnacentral:rRNA from 1 species